GUCUAUGGCCAUGCCCGAUGUCUGAUCUCAGAAGCUAAGCAGGGUUGGGCCUGGCUAGUAGUUGGAUGGGAGACCACCUAGGAAGACAAGGUGCUGUAGGCA
rnacentral:rRNA from 1 species